AACGAACGCUGGCGGCAGGCUUAACACAUGCAAGUCGAGCGAGACCUUCGGGUCCAGCGGCGGACGGGUGAGUAACGCGUGGGAACGUGCCCUUCUCUACGGAAUAGCCCCGGGAAACUGGGAGUAAUACCGUAUACGCCCUUUGGGGGAAAGAUUUAUCGGAGAAGGAUCGGCCCGCGUUGGAUUAGGUAGUUGGUGGGGUAAUGGCCCACCAAGCCGACGAUCCAUAGCUGGUUUGAGAGGAUGAUCAGCCACACUGGGACUGAGACACGGCCCAGACUCCUACGGGAGGCAGCAGUGGGGAAUCUUAGACAAUGGGGGCAACCCUGAUCUAGCCAUGCCGCGUGAGUGAUGAAGGCCUUAGGGUUGUAAAGCUCUUUCAGCUGGGAAGAUAAUGACGGUACCAGCAGAAGAAGCCCCGGCUAACUCCGUG
rnacentral:rRNA from 1 species